UUCCAGAUAAUUUAUUUAAUCUUCUUAUGAAAUUCUAUGAAACUUGGAACAACAAGGCGGUAGUAAACAAGUAAAUAAUUUGUUUAUUCAAAUAAAAUAAUGCUGUUAAGUGUCUUCAACACAAAAUUGACAAUUUAAGGACAAGUAAACGUUUAUCCUAGCCAUAAAAGGAUAUAAGUUGAUUUAAUAGUUUUCUCAACUGUCGUAAUAUAUAUAUUAAUACUUAAUCAAACUGGCUCACAUGGCUAUGCAUCAUAAUACCAUGUUUCCGGGUACGGCAACAAAGUUUCAAACUCGACCAGCGUCACCCCAAUUUGCCAGUUUUUCGCCGCCCUCCGAUUAUCCACAUGUUCAGGCUCAAGCAACGGUACAUUUGCAUAAUCAACAACAGCAGCAGCAAAAACACCUUCAACAGCAACAACAACUACAACAAAUGCAACAACAUCAUCUGCCUCAGCAACAACAAUAUCCAUCUCAUGGUAUGUCCAUGCGUCAUCCCGGCAAAAGCAUGAAUGCCGGCAGUAGUAUUAAAUCUCGUUCAAAUUCUUCAUCCGCCCAUCAUAUGGUGAAUUCAAAUACUAUGACGGGUGGCAUGUUGGCUGCAAUGUCGAGUGGUGGUAGUUUGGGCCAUCAUCGUGGUGAUUUAAUAUUUCCCGACGAAAUGGAUAGUAUAGAAUUUUGUAUGCCUCCAGCACCUGGACCUUCGAAUGGCAUGGGUCAUGGUGUAAGCAGUGAAAUGUUGCUGGUACAUGGCAAGAAUGGCCUGUGUACGGGUGAAGCCUUUACAGAGAGACGAAGAAGGGGACACAGUAGGCGUAGCAAUCAUAAAAUGGAUGUAGAACAGCAGGUAAAAUGGUCUCGUAAAAAUAUUGCUGCCACCAUGGAACGUUUCGAGCCCACGCAACAUCAUUCCUCUUCAUCGACUUCUUCGCUUGAAUAUGGUUUUGCUGCCAGCGUUGUAACACCUUCAUCGACACCAUCACACCAUUCGCAGCAGCAAAUUUCACCUGCACCCUCACAAACUUAUCAAGGUGGAGCUGCAGCAGCAGCAUCGAGUAAUUCUGCUGGUCCUUCGGGUUCUACACCCUACAAUCAUGUUUACUCUUAUGCUUACUAUGAACCAGGCGCUGCAAAAUGUCACAUAAAUAUACCGCAAAAGGAUGAAGCUUCUGCUAUUGUACCAGCCCCUUUGAUAAGUGCCGCGCCUCCCUCUAAAAGUCCAACCCGCAAUUCCAUUAGAGCAUUACUGGCUAAAAGUUUUCGUUCAAAAUCGAAUAGUGGCCAAUCAACAUCUUCUUCGCCCAGCGGCACUGAUGAGAGACACACCUAUACUACUCGUUAUGGUACAACUGAAAAUCUAUACGAGGAGGUUAAUGAUCAGAAGAUACGUAAAGUCUUGUCCGAUAAUCGCAUAGCGACAUCCAAUGUUAAGGAAGAGCUUAGAAGAGUUCAGCACAAUCACUUUCGGGUAUUGGAUGAAUUGAAUUUGUCAUUGGAAGCUUUGAUUAUGCCUGAAACCCCACCCGAUAUAAGUCCAAAUCAGGUGGAAGAUGAUGACGGCCCAUCCACUAGUGCUGCAGCGGCGGCAGUAGCAGCGGCAACAUCUAGGGCCUCUGUAUCAUCUGGUUCUCAUAGAGGACCACGUCGCGGAGGUUUGUUGGGAGGUGCCGCUUCCUCUUCUUCAUCCACAGUGUCUUCUUCACAGCAGCGUACCUUAUCUCACGCCAGCCUAGAAAAUCUUUCUUCAACUCUAAACUCCAUCGAACUGAAGGAUCACACCCACAGUUCUUGUAUAAAUCCUGAGUUUGAUGAGGGUGACCUCGAUAGUGGCUUCAGCGGUAGUGGCAGUAGCAGUGGUGCGAGUUAUAAUGAAAGUCUGCGCUAUUAUAAAACAGGUCCAACGCCAAGUCAUCAGCAUCACAACCACCACGCCCAACAGCAUCAACUGCACCAGCAUGCUGGUCAGCAUCAUCUUAUACAACCCACCACUUUACCCCACAAUAUGCGUAGUUGUCGAUCAUCAACUGCAUCCGGUACAUCGACUUCCAAAAGUAGUAUGGUUUCAUCCGAGGAUCAGGGUAUUGGCAUGAUGACUUCUUUGGGUAGCUGUGGAACAGCUGUUACCUCACCAGCAAAUGGUCAUUUACUAGCGUCGCCCUUUAACUUUGCCCGCCGUAGCUCCGACACACAGCGGGCGUCCGGCCGCUCAGCCUCUGAUUCCUCUGCGACGGGUGCUAAACCGAAAAAAAACUUUUGGAAACUAAAACCGUGAUGCUGUAAAAAGGCUUUACGUAAACUCUGCAAAAAAUGGAGUAUAGUGGUGGAAUACAAUGCUAAGACUGCCUCAUGUCAUAUUAUACAAUAUAGAAAAUGUGCGAAUUAUAUUUUAUCAUCCUCAACCUGUUACAACCUAUUGAAUGCCAUGGAAGAAUGUCGUCGUCCAAUAUUUCAUGAACAUUAUGAUUGAUGGUGGUUUAUUUAUAUAAUUAUUCUUUCGAUCUUCUAAAAUCACUUUUUUAUACUAACAAACGGAACGUCCUUCUCAAAUAAAUAGAAAAAUCCAGAAAAACUGAAAAAUAGAUUAAAAAAAAAAAACGCAGCACACAAAUUCCAACUACAAUAAUAAAUAUUUGCAUAAAUGUAUUUUGGCACCAUUACAGCACAAACAACAGAAUUAAAUUCAAUUUUAUAGAAAACAGUAAAAAGCAAAAAAAAAAAACUACAAACAAUUUAAAAAUAUUAAAACACAAAAUUAACCUGAAAAUUGUAACUGCCCCUUAAAAAACAGGAUGCACAAAAC